UUAAAGAAUAGUAUGAAAAAGAGGGUAAGUAUGACAUCUUCAGAAGUGCAGAGGGAACUUUAUCAAGUGAAUGGAUACAUAAGGGGUUGAUGUUGAAAUAAACGUUCUUAAAAUAGGAUGAAGGUGUUCAGUUCCUUCUUUAGGACUCAAAGCGGUAUUUACACUUGUAGUUCGUUCUCCCUCAUCGAACAGAGAAGAGCUUUACGGCACAAUAAAAACCCUAGCUCAACUAUGGAGUUCGUCCCUUCGGGGACAUCCGAUAAAAUUGGAACGAUACAGAGAAGAUUAGCAUGGCCCCGCGCAAGGAUGACACGCACAAAUCGAGAAAUGGUCCAAAUUUUUUUGGCUCAGUUUUCCUCGUCCCUCUGUUAUCUUUUGCGAUGCUCUCUCACGAGAUUUCUUGAGGGUUGCCCAGAUUUUGUUGACGGGGAUAGGCAUAUUAUGCCCUAGUUUCAAUGCUUGGAGCUGCUGACAAUUCCAAACACUCGCUAUCAUGCAAUAUCUGGUUGAUGUGUUCGUUUGCUCAACGGAAACAUUUAUUUGUAUUCUACAUGGAUUUGCAAAUGCCAAAGCAGUGUCAUUCCUUUGUUUCUGAAGAAAAUAAUGCCACUAUUGAGGUAAAAGGCCUGAUGUUUAUUGAGGGUUAUCCUAAUUUCUGGGAUGUACCAUUGUGUUGCCUUUCUGAAGAAAAUGACACCACUACUGCAUGCUGCUAGCGCUCUGGUCGUACAACUUUAUGACUGCGCAAUAGAGAGCUUAUUGGGUCAUAUUGCAAUUAUAACUGCUGCGGGUCAAGCUAUAAAGGGUAUUGCGAGACAGCUUGUGGCAGAGGGAAAAAUACGAGAUUAGGAAGUUUGCGUAAAGCUAACUCCUCCAGGAUCAGUCAAAUAACUUCUCAGCAUAGUUAUUCUAUUUCUGAUGAGUUGGCUACUGGAAUUACUACAGUGCUGUACAGAAAGUUGCAUCCGAUCUGAAGACGACGAAGAUGAAUGAUAUACUCAUCGAGAAUCGUCGUUGAAGAUGGAUGUUGCUUCCAUGCUUAAUGGGCUAGGAGUGAAGACAAAUGUGGAUCUCAGAAAGCUUACAUUGGCUGGAGACUUUGUACUUUAUUUGCAAACCUUUUUCGGUCUGCUUCUGGUUCUGUGGUUGCCAAUUACUUGAGCAAUGAGCAACUGGUACUGCCUAAAUCUUAAGGUAUCUCUAAUGCCUUUGGCAUGUCUAUACUACAUUCCAAUUUUGACAUGAAAGUCCCUCUGGACCAACUCUCACUGUACCAUAUCAUCGUCUUGUGUUGUAAAACAUACCCACAUCGGCAUACAUGUCCAAGUGAGGACUGCACAAAUUCUGUGUUGGCUUGCAAAGAUAGAAGGAGGACAUACAAGAACAAUAUACCUAACGAAUGCUACUGUAAUGAUGAUGGAUGGGUUUGUAAAAGUGGAGGGUACUAAAUCUUGGAACAAACUCAUUAAUGAUACUGUCUCAAUCAAAUGUUCUUUGAAAUGAAUUUCUUAUUUGAACUUCAA